AUGAACGCUGACAGAAUGCUUAACACAUGCAAGUCGAUGGGGAAGUGGUGCUUGCACCCUGGCAACCAUGGCGGACGGGUGAGUAACGCGUAAGGGACUUACCUGCAGGACUGGGAUAACAGGGGGAAACUCCUGACAAGACCGGAUAAUGUCAUGGAGCUGCAUGGCUUUAUGAUGAAAGGAGACGCCUGCGGAGAGCCUUGCGUCCUAUUAGCUAGUUGGUGAGGUAAUGGCUCACCAAGGCGAAGAUAGGUAGCCGGCCUGAGAGGGUGGACGGCCACAAGGGGACUGAGAUACGGCCCUUACUCCUACGGGAGGCAGCAGUGGGGAAUAUUGGACAAUGGGGGCAACCCUGAUCCAGCAAUUCUGUGUGCACGAAGAAGGUUUUCGGAUUGUAAAGUGCUUUCAGCAGGGAAGAAGUAAGUGACGGUACCUGCAGAAGAAGCGACGGCUAAAUACGUG
rnacentral:rRNA from 1 species